AUUAAACGAAAGAGUUUGAUCCUGGCUCAGGACGAACGCUGGCGGCGUGCCUAACACAUGCAAGUCGAGCGGAGACAGUGAGUAGCUUGCU
rnacentral:rRNA from 1 species